UCAGGUGGCGACAGCGAAGAGGUCACACCCGUUCCCAUGCCGAACACGGAAGUUAAGCUCUUCAGCGCCGAUGGUAUUUGGGCGGAAACGCCCUGAGAGCGUAGGACGUCGCCUGGC
rnacentral:rRNA from 1 species